rnacentral:rRNA from 1 species
GUGGGGAAUCUUGCGCAAUGGGCGAAAGCCUGACGCAGCCAUGCCGCGUGAAUGAUGAAGGUCUUAGGAUUGUAAAAUUCUUUCACCGGGGACGAUAAUGACGGUACCCGGAGAAGAAGCUCCGGCUAACUUCGUGCCAGCAGCCGCGGUAAUACGAAGGGGGCUAGCGUUGCUCGGAAUUACUGGGCGUAAAGGGCGCGUAGGCGGACAGCUUAGUCAGAGGUGAAAGCCCAGGGCUCAACCUUGGAAUUGCCUUUGAUACUGGCUGUCUUGAGUUUGGGAGAGGGGAGUGGAACGCCGAGUGUAGAGGUGAAAGUCGUAGAUAUUCGGAAGAAGACCGGUGUCGAAGGCGACUCACUGGCCCAAUACUGACGCGGAGGCGCGAAAGCGUGGGGAGCAAACAGGAUUAGAAACCCCGGUAGUCC